rnacentral:tRNA from 1 species
AUCAGGGUCUGCUACGUUAAAGCAGUUGGGCUCAUACCCCAAAAACGGUAUUCAUCACCCCCUGAUG